GCCAGGCGCUGUUUUUCGAAAUUUGGCAAUCCUGCCUCGUGACGAUCGGAACAAUGGAGGAUGAAGUGCGAUUUCGACUCGUGAUGUGUACAGUCAGUACAGUAAAUUAUUACGUAUAAAUAUGCGAUGAUACGUACGGCUGUUAUGAAAGCUACAAUCGUCUAAUUUGUUCGCAAAUAGUUAUUCGGGUGUACGUGGAUUGUAGUUCAUCACGAAUGAAGUAUAGAAAUUUCGAUCGACCUAUAAUAAAUAUUUCAGUGAUGGAAGGUCGUGCAGGUUGAGCAAGCAAACUCGUAUCAAAAUAUUAGCGACCAAUAACCGUCUCGUGUUUCUCACGAAUGUAAUAAAAGUUCAAUUUCAACAUUAACGGGAUAAUUCAACUUAAAUUUCACGGACGCAUUUUUAUUGAUUAAUCGAUGCAACAAAUCGAAACAAAAAACGCUUUAUACGAAUGUAUUCAAUUCGGAAUUAGAAUACGGCCAGAGAUCAGACGAAAAAAAAUCGAUGCUACAGAGGAGGCAAAAUCACGUCUUAGUGCCUGUAAAGAGGAAAUUUAUUUCCUUCGAAUUAGUCCUUUAUUUAUAGAUACUUGUACAUAUCGAUGUCAAAAGAUUUUUUGAUAAGAAAAUUUUUAUUUGUCCUAAAAAAACAAUAAAUGUACAAAACACUUAGGUUUGUCAGAAAAAAAACUGUAA